ensembl:lncRNA
UUUUUUUUUAAUUUUUAUAUAAUUCAUUAAUAAUUUAUAAUUAAAAAAAAUAUAUAUAUCAUUGUAAAUACAAUUUUAUAUAUUUAUAUUUAUCAUUAUAAAAAUCCAAAGAUUUUUUAAUUUUCACUUUUUAUUACUUUUUAAUAUAUUAUUAUUCAAAUUUUUUAUAAAUUAAAUAUUUUAAUUUAAAAAAAAAAAAAAAAGAUAUAAAAAUGAGAAAAUUAUAUAUUUCAUUAUUAUUCCUUAUAUUUUAUUUUUUGAAUUCGAUACUGGUAUAUUUCAUUAAUGCAAAUGAAUAUGGUAAUCAAAAAAGAAUUCUCAGCGAACAGGAUGCACCAUUAGAAGAAGCACAAAUUGACGGUAUAUUAAGAGAACAGGUUCAAAGUUGUACGGAUAGUAGCUCAUGUUCUAAAACUGAUAAUGGCAAACUAUCACAAGAUGCAGAAUCUUUGUUAAGAUUUUCGGGCAUACCAGAAAACUUAUAUAAUGAUAAUUUUGUAUGUGAAGAAAAAAAAUUUUCUAAUAAUAAAAUAAUAUACCAACCCUCAAACAGUACUGAUAUCAAUGGAUAUCAAAACUUAUUAAAAUAUAUCGAAAACUCUUAUAAUGCUAAUGAUGGUAAUGUUUAUAAAUUUCUGAUUAAUUUAUUUAAAAUAUACACUUUAAAUAAUAAUAUAAGUGAAAAUGGAUUCAAAUCGGGUUUUUCUGUUACGUUUUUAAAUUAUACUGAAAAUGAUCAAAAAGCAGCUAAUGUUCAAGUAAAAUUUAUCGCAUGUAAAGAUGAUCAACGUAAAGCAUCCUGUGAACAACCAAACACUGCUUUUAGAAUAGAUAAUAUUGAGGAAUAUUUAAACCAACAGUCUAUGGAUAAUCAAGAUGGCAUAGCUUCAUCUCCUGGUGAAAGUAAAAAUACAGAAGAUGUUGGAAAACCAAAAUCGAGUUACUUGGUAAUAGUUAUAGUCUAUAAUCGAGAGGGUGUAAAGAAUAAAAUUACCAGUGCAGUAAAUAUUUACAAAUGUGAUAGUAAUGUAGCUAAACAAUGUGUAGUGAAUAUUAACGAUACAGAUGAUAGCGAUAGGUUUGAUACUUUGUCAAAAUACUUUAAUAAUAGUCAAUAUAGUAUACUUAGUAGUGAAAUGUUUUCGUCAAUCUAUGCUAAUUAUGGAGCAUUAGAAACUAUGGUAAAUGAUAUUGCCACACAACUCAGAAACGAACGAAAUCAGAUCACGAUUGAUACUCCUAUAAGCCAAGAUAGUACAUCGGAUGGUGUAUCAGGUUACAACUUAUUGAAGGCAAUGGAGGUCAACAAUGGUACAUCUUCUAUUAAAUCCAUUAACUUUGAAAAAUUUUGUAAUAAAUUGAACAUAGAUGAUAAAACGUGUAAUAGUGAUUUUACAGAAAUAUACAAUAAUGCAGUUAAAAAAAUAGGAGAACCAAAUAUUAUGGAAUUUUUAACUGAUUGUUUGGAUAAUAAUAAAUAUUUAGGAAAAAAAACAGAUAAAAAUAGUUCAGGUAGUGUAGCAAAUGAAGGUACUAAAGCAGUUACAAAUGAAGAAAUAAGUAAAGGUGAUAAAUUAGCUGAAAAUAGUAGUGAUGUAUUAUUAACAGGUGGUAAUGC